UUGAAGUUUCUCCCAGUGCCUGAAGAUUUUCCUGAAGGGUCCUGGCAACCAUCUCAUGAUCAAAGGAAAAGCAUUAUAAAGCUGGCAAGUAACAGCUCAUCCACCACUGUUGUUCCAUCCAUCACGUUGGAGGUGCGAGACUCCCACCCACCCCGGGAGCCGCAUGCUCAGGUCAUGUCAACAAACAGGCUCAGCAAAGUCCAAGGACCCAUCCUGAUUUCAAGAUGGGUUAAAGAGUCACUCCCAGCACUUUUUGGAUUCAUUGGAUACAGCUCAAAUCCAGGGGACAAACAUUUGGUUGCCACAAGAGCUCCGAGGAUCUAUAAUCUGCAGUUCCUUUCAGCCCCCUGGCAGCCGUUUCCAGCCAGGACGUGUUUUUUGGUUUUUUGGAAGAACACGUUUUCAUUCAAGAGAUGUUACAGCAAAAUUCAAGCAAGGUCUGCAGUGGUCUGUGUCCGAAGGCAACAAAGCCAGCUUUCUCCUCGGGUUUGGGUUUCUUUUCAGCACUUACCAACUUUGUCUCACAACACCCUUGAGGAGGCAAAAGCGCUUUUUGUUCCUUUAUUAACGGGCGAGGGAAGCGGGACAUUAAAAUCCCGGUGGUGCAGCAGGAGGCAGCCCUGGGGACGCCUUGGCGGGGCAAAGAGGGGGUGUGGGGUGAUGCUUUGGGUAC